CUUGUCAUCAGUGUAAAAGAAAACAUGCUCCCCACUGUUCUUAUCCCACUGCAGAACAGGUCUGUGCUUCUCCAAAAGUGCCAGGAAACGUGAUAAAGGAAUUUACAAUUUGCUUUUCCCCCCACAGCCAUGUACACAUCAAAUAACAGAAUGGUCUUAGAGAUGAAGCUGAAGGUGAGAAAAUAGUACUCCUCAAAUUGUAAUGGAAAGUGUUCCUUAUUCCAUACAAGAAUGGAACCACCUCUAACA